GAGAAAUUAAGAGGGGAGAUAGGGAGACACGGCGAAGGGGGAAGGUGACGCCGACCGCCGGAAAUUCAGAGUCAGCCGAGAAGUAGGGACGCGGCUGAUGCCGUGCUGGAUUAAGAGAAGUAUUGUGAGCCAAAUUUCGAAAAAUUACACAAUGAGCGAUAUGCCCCAUGGAGGAGCCACGGAGGCAGAGUGGCAGACUUCAGUGUUGCAGUUGCUGAUGUAGAAGGCAGGAAUGAGCGAUAGGCAAGAGAGAUGCGAUGCUAUGAUCAAGAAGGUGUCUUCUGGGAAGAAGCAUGAAAAAUGGUUGGAGGGUGGUGGCCGGAAGCUGCAGGUAAAAUGGCUGAGACGCCUUAAUCCCUGAAGCUCUUUUUGCAACCUCCUAUUCUCUUCUCUCAGUGUCUCACAACACCUUUUUAAAUCCACCUCUAUCUGCUUCAAUUUGGUCCUGUCAAAAUAUCAUAAAUGAUUGUCACAUUUAAUUCCUCCACACGAGAAUUCGGAGUGAAGAAGAAGAAGAAGAAGAAGGUGCCGCCUAAAAUUUGGGCGUAUAGAUGGAUUUAGAUUAGGGAUUCUUUCUUAUUGUUAUACAUAGUUUAUACUUAAAUUAAUUGUUAGAUUAUUUAAUUAUUCCUUUUUUUUAAUUGUUGAGUUUAUCGUUUAUGGUUGUAUUCUUUCUUUUUGGUCCAAAUUAAUUCUUUAGCAAA